GGUACCAUAGCUCAGUUGGUAGAGCAACGGACUGAAAAUCCGUGUGUCCGUGGUUCAAUUCCACGUGGUACCA
rnacentral:tRNA from 2 species